rnacentral:rRNA from 1 species
AGUGAACGCUGGCGGUAGGCCUAACACAUGCAAGUCGAACGGCAGCACAGUAAGAGCUUGCUCUUACGGGUGGCGAGUGGCGGACGGGUGAGGAAUACAUCGGAAUCUACUUUUUCGUGGGGGAUAACGUAGGGAAACUUACGCUAAUACCGCAUACGACCUACGGGUGAAAGCAGGGGAUCUUCGGACCUUGUGCGAUUGAAUGAGCCGAUGUCGGAUUAGCUAGUUGGCGGGGUAAAGGCCCACCAAGGCGACGAUCCGUAGCUGGUCUGAGAGGAUGAUCAGCCACACUGGAACUGAGACACGGUCCAGACUCCUACGGGAGGCAGCAGUGGGGAAUAUUGGACAAUGGGCGCAAGCCUGAUCCAGCCAUACCGCGUGGGUGAAGAAGGCCUUCGGGUUGUAAAGCCCUUUUGUUGGGAAAGAAAAGCAGCAGGUUAAUACCCCGCUGUUCUGACGGUACCCAAAGAAUAAGCACCAGCUAACUUCGUG